GCCUGCGGAGGGAUCAUUGCUGGAACGCGCCCCAGGCGCACCCAGAAACCCUUUGUGAACUUAUACCUUACUGUUGCCUCGGCGCAUGCCGGCCCCCCUGGGGGCCCCUCCUUCUGGAGGAGCAGGCACGCCGGCGGCCAACCUAACUCUUGUUUUUACACUGAAACUCUGAGAAUAAAACAUAAAUGAAUCAAAACUUUCAACAACGGAUCUCUUGGUUCUGGCAUCGAUGAAGAACGCAGCGAAAUGCGAUAAGUAAUGUGAAUUGCAGAAUUCAGUGAAUCAUCGAAUCUUUGAACGCACAUUGCGCCCUCUGGUAUUCCGGAGGGCAUGCCUGUUCGAGCGUCAUUUCAACCCUCAAGCCUGGCUUGGUGAUGGGGCACUGCUUCUUACCCAAGAAGCAGGCCCUGAAAUUCAGUGGCGAGCUCGCCAGGACCCCGAGCGCAGUAGUUAAACCCUCGCUCUGGAAGGCCCUGGCGGUGCCCUGCCGUUAAACCCCCAACUUCUGAAAAUUUGACCUCGGAUCAGGUAGGAAUACCCGCUGAACUUAAGCAUAUCAAAAGCCGGAGGAA
rnacentral:rRNA from 1 species